rnacentral:rRNA from 1 species
UACGGAGGGUGCAAACGUUGCUCGGAAUCACUGGGCGUAAAGGGUGCGUAGGCGGGUCUUUAAGUCAGGGGUGAAAUCCUGGAGCUCAACUCCAGAACUGCCUUUGAUACUGAGGAUCUUGAGUUCGGGAGAGGUGAGUGGAACUGCGAGUGUAGAGGUGAAAUUCGUAGAUAUUCGCAAGAACACCAGUGGCGAAGGCGGCUCACUGGCCCGAUACUGACGCUGAGGCACGAAAGCGUGGGGAGCAAACAGG